CUUUGACAGCUUUAAAGGAAUUUGCACAAAGGAAGGAGACAGCUGCUGUUCUGAUGAAGGAUUUUUCUGAGCAGGCCUCCCAAGCUAGACGUGCCCCUUUGAGAUGCUGCCUCCACUUUUCAUCACGAGCAACAGGUGACUAAUCUGCAAUCAAAAACACUUAGCAGGAAUGGAUCAGUUGCUGUUAUGAAGUUUUGAGCUUAUAGCAUUUUUUCAUGCUGGAAUGUUAGGGCUGAGAAUGUGUUGGACACAGCGCAAUUGAGGACUUCCAGACACAGUGAAAUCCUUGCAAGAGGCAUCAGAGAGUGGACUGCCAGAGUUUUAGAAGCCCAACAGCUGUUAGCCUGCUGCAGCAUGAGGAAGAGUCUUCGGUCUCUCCAAUGCACAGGAAAGAGAAGACGAAUUGUAGUAAAUGUCCGCCUUCGAUACUGAGAAAAAGGCCACCCGUGAACCAAGCUGUGAGUGAAAAGCGAAAAGCAGAGAGAAGGGUUCGAUUUUGUGAGCCAGAGAUCACUGGAUAUGCACAUGACAGGCCAUCAGCUGGAUUGCCCUUGCUCCUGUGGAUUUCGCUUUGUUUAGUGCUGAUCCUGGCUGUGAGUCUGUACUACAACAGCGUGAAGCAGAAUUUCAAAGUCUUGGAAGAAUUUCAAUCCCAGCUCAUUAUCUUCCUUCUUCAGAUAAGACACGUUGCUUUGAAAUGCUGGACUUGGUUUAUGAGGCAAUAAAGGUGUCACACGUGUGGAAUUGUGCAUGGCCCAAGACAAAGAUCUUAGCAGAUAACAUCUAAAUGUAUAUUGCAGCACAAGGCUCACAGCCCACUCAACCCAAACACCAGAGAAUGCGCCAGCCUUCCCUUUGAA